CAGCAGCCGCGGUAAUACGUAGGGUGCGAGCGUUAAUCGGAAUUACUGGGCGUAAAGCGUGCGCAGGCGGUUAUGUAAGACAGGUGUGAAAUCCCCGGGCUUAACCUGGGAACUGCGCUUGUGACUGCACAGCUAGAGUAUGGCAGAGGGGGGUGGAAUUCCACGUGUAGCAGUGAAAUGCGUUGAGAUUGGAAAGAACACCAACGGCGAAAACACUCUGUUGGGCCGACACUGACACUGAGAGACGAAAGCUAAGGGAGCAAAUGGGAUUAGAUACCCCCGUAGUCCCUGUCUCUUAUAC
rnacentral:rRNA from 1 species